rnacentral:rRNA from 1 species
CAGCAGCCGCGGGAAUACGAAGGGGGCUAGCGUUGCUCGGAAUUACUGGGCGUAAAGGGAGCGUAGGCGGAUGUUUAAGUCAGAGGUGAAAGCCCAGGGCUCAACCUUGGAACUGCCUUUGAUACUGGACAUCUUGAGUGUGGGAGAGGUAAGCGGAACUCCGAGUGUAGAGGUGAAAUUCGUAGAUAUUCGGAAGAACACCAGUGGCGAAGGCGGCUUACUGGCCCAUUACUGACGCUGAGGCUCGAAAGCGUGGGGAGCAAACAGGAUUAGAUACCCCCGUAGUCCCUGUCUCUUAUAC